rfam:Acyrthosiphon pisum strain LSR1 Contig19716, whole genome shotgun sequence.
AAAACGGUCCUUUUUAGGACCACCAAUCAGAAUCCGCCAUUUAUAA